UCCUCACUUUCUCCAUUUCCCUUUGAUACCAAAAAAAACCCGUUUUUCUAGUUAACUCAUAUUUUAGGGCAAUGGGUCAUGGCAGAGGUCGAACCCCACACAGAUGAGGACGUAAUUCUUUUCUCCAAAGCUCCCAACGUUCCAAUGAUCAAUCCAAGCAUCCCCAUGACCCAGUAAUUAACCAUUUUUUAUUAUAGUUUUGCCCCUUUUCUUUUCUUUCUCAUUUUGUUCUUCUUUUGCUGGUCCCAUGAACAUGGGUCGUCACUAUGGUGCAAAAACAAAAAUGAGGGUUGCUCAAAUGCAAAAAAUAAGGAGGAUAAAGGUUUAAUUUUAUAUUUAUACUUUUUUUCAAGGAGCGUUAAAAAUUAUAUACUUUUAAAUAAAAUAAUUUUUUUAAAUUAUUUUUUUAGACGAGGAAAAAUGCCUUUUGAUUUCUUAGCCGUUAAAUAUUCUGUAUUUUGAAAAUGUGUCAUUGCAUGGGACCCAACAAAUUGUCAAAAAGUCAAAUCCUCAUCUCUCUAACCAAGUCAUCUACCUCCGUCAUGUUUGUCAAUUGCAGCGCGCGCAGAGAGAGAGAGAGAGAGAGAGCUUUAGUCAUUUCCUUCAUCCUUCACCAUUCGUCUAACCAAGCCAUAUGAAGAGCUUUAUCCACCUUUGCUUCCUUUUCCAUCUGCUACCUUCCUUGUGAGUGGACAACUUUGCAUCUGAGGCAAACGAAGGGACUUGCAGUUCUCUGAUUGCAUUUUUGCUAACACACCUGCGAAGAGGAAGCUAGUAUUCGUUAAAGUAGAUUAGUUGAAACCUGGAACCAACAGUCACUUGGUCGUCAUGGUUGUGUCCACCAACACCAUCUUGCAAAAAUGAUGACCCUCUGCAUCUUCUUGAAAUCCUCGUCCAACUCUAAUCGCAGAGUGCCUUGUUGCCGAUGAGAUUGUCGCCAUUCUUUUCACCGCUUGAAACAAACAGGGUCGGAGCCCUCCUUUCCCCAUUUUUUUUUUUUUGUAAUGUAACUUUUCCAUUGUUAAAAUGUAAACUUAUAUUGUGGGUUUCCUUUUGAUUGCUCAAACAUUUCAUUUUUUAUUUGGGA